CCUACGGGUGGCUGCAGUGAGGAAUAUUGGUCAAUGGGCGCAAGCCUGAACCAGCCAUCCCGCGUGCAGGAAGACGGCCCUAUGGGUUGUAAACUGCUUUUCCAGGGGACGAAUAGUUUCUACGUGUAGAGACCUGACGGUACCUUGGGAAUAAGCAUCGGCUAACUCCGUGCCAGCAGCCGCGGUAAUACGGAGGAUGCAAGCGUUAUCCGGAUUCAUUGGGUUUAAAGGGUGCGUAGGCGGAUUAAUAAGUCAGCGGUGAAAUCCUACAGCUUAACUGUAGAACUGCCAUUGAUACUGUUAGUCUUGAGUUUGGUUAAGGUAGGCGGAAUGUGUAAUGUAGCGGUGAAAUGCUUAGAUAUUACACAGAACACCAAUUGCGAAGGCAGCUUACUGGACCGACACUGACGCUGAGGCACGAAAGCGUGGGGAUCGAACAGGAUUAGAUACCCCUGUAGUC
rnacentral:rRNA from 1 species